AACACAGACAGAUGGGAGGUGGAAGGAAGCCCCAGGGGAAAGGCCUUAUGUCUCAGUUUCACUGUGACAAUGGAGCACGUGCGCUUGGGCCUCACAGUAUUUUAACGGAUGAAGAGGUUUUCUUGGCAGUCUUCUGCUGUGAGAGGGGCCCAAGUAACCCUGGCGCCUGGCAGUUGCAUCAUUCAAACAGGAACAGGAAAAUACUGAAGAUUCCGGAAUUAAAAGUGAGCAGCAAUUUCAUCUGGAUUUGACCCGAGUGACCCUUCUACUUAGGCUGAGAUAUUAGUCUCACAUUCCUGUGAGAGAGAACCAGCAGCUUAUUAAAAACAACCCUUCAUUACCAUAAGACA